rnacentral:rRNA from 1 species
AAGAUGGGUCUGCACUGCAGGAUACCCAUUCUCUGUUGGGAUGCCACGUAUGGGAAAAUAUCGUUUUAGAGUGACUUACCCAGUAAUCCAAAUUAAAUCCUGAGACAAUUACCCAUAGAGGGUGAUAGCCCCGUAGGACUGAUGAUGAGACUACCUAGGUAUGACUCAAAAUUGAUAUUUUCUCGUGAGUCAGGUUACUUGAGAUUGUAGCCUAAAGAGGAGGUAUAUUCCUUCUAAAGCUAAAUAUGACUGUGAGACCGAUAGCGAACAAGNUACCAUGAGGGAAAGUUGAAAAGAACACUGAAAAGAGAGUUCAAUAGACCGUGAAGCGGUUACCGGGUAAUAAAACGGAUAUAGUGGCGUGUGUCGAACGAGGAGUUGAGCUAAAACUUUAUGGAUUUCAUGGGGUAACCCCUGUGUUUUCUGUAUUGCGAAGAUUUCGAAAGUAACGCGAGAUGCGACGACGUAUGUGCAGAUUAAUCGGCUACGUUUGUCCCCUUGCGCCAAAUCUUAAUUUGAAGCGACUCACUCUUGUAGGCCUUCACACGAAUUGAUAAGUUGUCUAAGAACCGUGUUCGAGAGUUUAA